AUACUUACUUGGUGCUGGACACGCGGUGAUCAUGAAAACCGUGGUCCCGUGCGGAGACCUACCAUUGCACUUAGGUUGGUUGAAGCGCGCCACUUCCCAAAAAAAGGGAUAGCUGGAGCAUUUAAUUUUUGGUAGUGGGGCUCGGCGUUCGCGCCAGCCCCUG